rnacentral:rRNA from 1 species
AUUGAACGCUGGCGGCAGGCCUAACACAUGCAAGUCGAACGAGUGGCGGACGGGUGAGUAAUGUAUGGGGAUCUGCCUGAUAGAGGGGGAUAACUACUGGAAACGGUAGCUAAUACCGCAUACCAUCAGAUGAGCCCAUAUGGGAUUAGCUAGUAGGUGGGGUAACGGCUCACCUAGGCGACGAUCCCUAGCUGGUCUGAGAGGAUGACCAGCCACACUGGAACUGAGACACGGCCCAGACUCCUACGGGAGGCAGCAGUGGGGAAUAUUGCACAAUGGGCGCAAGCCUGAUGCAGCCAUGCCGCGUGUAUGAAGAAGGCCUUAGGGUUGUAAAGUACUUUCAGCGGGGAGGCGUUACCCGCAGAAGAAGCACCGGCUAACUCCGUGCCAGCCGCCGCGGUAAUUC